AUGGGAAUUUGGAUCUGUUUGUUUUUCAUUGUAGCCGCUUUAGAAGGUGUCCGGUCCCAGGUGCAGCUGGUGGAGUCCGGAGGGGAUGUGAAAAAGCCCGGAGACUCUCUCCGCCUCUCCUGCAAAGCCUCCGGGUUCACCUUCAGCAGCUACUGGAUGCAUUGGGUCCGUCAGGCUCCCGGGAAGGGACUGGAGUGGAUCGCCUUCAUUGCUGUCACCACUAUAUAUUACGCUGACUCCGUUAAGGGCCGAUUCACCAUCUCCAGGGACAACUCCAACAACCUGCUGUAUCUGCAAAUGACCGGCCUGAAGCCCGAGGACACUGCCCGGUAUCAUUGUGCGAGAGACAGAGUGACCGGCGGAGCCCAGCAACCCCAUGGCCCCACUCCCCCAGUCAGAGCGCCGGCCAGAGCGCAGCAAGUCCCACGGUCCCGCUACCCCAUCCAGAGCGCAGCAAGCCCCGCUGCCCCCUUCCCCUAG